AUUGAACGCUGGCGGCAGGCCUAACACAUGCAAGUCGAGCGGAUGAAGGGAGCUUGCUCCUGGAUUCAGCGGCGGACGGGUGAGUAAUGCCUAGGAAUCUGCCUGGUAGUGUGGGAUAACGUCCGGAAACGGGCGCUAAUACCGCAUACGUCCUGAGGGAGAAAGUGGGGGAUCUUCGGAUCUCACGCUAUCAGAUGAGCCUAGGUCGGAUUAGCUAGUUGGUAGGGUAAAGGCCUACCAAGGCGCCGAUCCGUAACUGGUCUGAGAGGAUGAUCAGUCACACUGGAAAUGAGACACGGUCCAGACUCCUACGGGAGGCAGAAGUGGGGAAUAUUGGACAAUGGGCGAACGCCUGAUCCAGCCAUGCCGCGUGUGUGAAGAAGGUCUUCGGAUUGUAAAGCACUUUAAGUUGGGAGGAAGGGAAGUAAGUUAAUACCUUGCUGUUUUGACGUUGCAAACAGAAUAAGCACAGGCUAAAUUCGUG
rnacentral:rRNA from 1 species